rnacentral:misc_RNA from 1 species
AAGUCGUAACAAGGUUUCCGUAGGUGAACCUGCGGAAGGAUCAUUACAGAGUUCAUGCCCGAAAGGGUAGACCUCCCACCCUUGUGUAUUAUUACUUUGUUGCUUUGGCGAGCUGCCUUCGGGCCUUGUAUGCUCGCCAGAGAAUAUCAAAAUUCUUUUUAUUAAUGUCGUCUGAGUACUAUAUAAUAGUUAAAACUUUCAACAACGGAUCUCUUGGUUCUG